rnacentral:rRNA from 1 species
AACGAACGCUGGCGGUGUGCUUAACACAUGCAAGUCGAACGAGAAAGUUUCCUUCGGGAAGCGAGUAAAGUGGCGCAAGGGUGAGUAACACGUGAAUAAUCUGCCCCCGAGACUGGGAUAACCUGGUGAAAACUAGGCUAAUACCGGAUAAGACCACGUCCCGCAAGGGAUGCGGGAAAAGGAGGCUCAACCUCCACUUGGGGAUGAGUUCGCGGACCAUUAGCUUGUUGGUGAGAUAACAGCUCACCAAGGCUACGAUGGUUAGCCGGCCUGAGAGGGUGAACGGCCACACUGGAACUGAGACACGGUCCAGACUCCUACGGGAGGCAGCAGUGGGGAAUUUUGCGCAAUGGACGAAAGUCUGAACCAGCCAUGCCGCGUGCAGGAUG